rnacentral:rRNA from 1 species
AUUGAACGCUGGCGGCAUGCUUUACACAUGCAAGUCGAGCGGCAGCACGGACUUCGGUCUGGUGGCGAGUGGCGAACGGGUGCGUAAUACAUCGGAACGUGCCCAGGUGUGGGGGAUAACUACUCGAAAGAGUAGCUAAUACCGCAUGAGAACUGAGGUUGAAAGCAGGGGAUCGUAAGACCUUGCGCAACUGGAGCGGCCUAUGGCAGAUUAGGUAGUUGGUGGGAUAAAAGCUUACAAAGCCGACGAUCUGUAGCUGGUCUGAGAGGAGGACCAGCCACACUGGGACUGAGACACGGCCCAGACUCCUACGGGAGGCAGCAGUGGGGAAUUUUGGACAAUGGGCGAAAGCCUGAUCCAGCAAUGCCGCGUGCAGGAUGAAGGCCUUCGGGUUGUAAACUGCUUUUGUACGGAACGAAAAGCUUCGGGUUAAUACCCUGGAGUCAUGACGGUACCGUAAGAAUAAGCACCGGCUAACUACGUGCCAGCCGCCGCAGUAAUAC